GACGAACGCUGGCGGCGUGCCUAAUACAUGCAAGUAGAACGCUGAAGGAGGAGCUUGCUUCUCUGGAUGAGUUGCGAACGGGUGAGUAACGCGUAGGUAACCUGCCUGGUAGCGGGGGAUAACUAUUGGAAACGAUAGCUAAUACCGCAUAAGAGUAGAUGUUGCAUGACAUUUGCUUAAAAGGUGCAAUUGCAUCACUACCAGAUGGACCUGCGUUGUAUUAGCUAGUUGGUGGGGUAACGGCUCACCAAGGCGACGAUACAUAGCCGACCUGAGAGGGUGAUCGGCCACACUGGGACUGAGACACGGCCCAGACUCCUACGGGAGGCAGCAGUAGGGAAUCUUCGGUAAUGGACGGAAGUCUGGCCGAGCAACGCCGCGUGAGUGAAGAAGGUUUUCGGAUCGUAAAGCUCUGUUGUAAGAGAAGAACGAGUGUGAGAGUGGAAAGUUCACACUGUGACGGUAUCUUACCAGAAAGGGACGGCUAACUACGUG
rnacentral:rRNA from 1 species